UUUUAUAUAUAUUAAAUUUUCUUUCAAAUACAAAAAUUCCUUAAUUUUUUUUUGGGUGGGGGAUACAGUCCCUAUAGUCCCUGCAGACUCACUCCCCUUAUUAUCAUUAUGAAAAAAAUAUAAAAGUAUUCUGAUUGUUUAAGGAAAUUUUGAUGCUACACCCUCUACUUACUGGGUCAUUUACCCAAAUAUCAACAACCUCGAGGACACCGUCAACCAUCACUGGGAGCCCAUAUCUGAGGAUUACAUCAGCAAUGGGUGCAAGGGUUUCUGUGGCCGCUUGGAAGCCAUCAUUGCUGCCAAUGGGGGCUGAAUCGAUGAUUAAGGGGAGAAAAAAAGGUAUAGCUGUACAAACCCUUUUUUCGGAUAUCAAACAACUACAGACACAAAAUUGACAGGACAACGAAGGCUAUGGAACUUCGUGGCUCAAUGGACAACGCACUCUUUACAAAAUUAUAACCUUUAACUCAAUGACGUAGAUUCACGUCUCAGUCGUUCCUAGAGUAAGAUAUAUAUUUUAUGUAUGUGGAACUCAAUGACGAUUCCCAUGUCGGAUGGAGUAAUUAUAAUGUCUACAUAUCCUUAAUCAGUGCAACUAACUCAAUCUGACCUGUGAUCAAGUUUAGUAAUGACUACCUCAAGAGUUUCUCAAUAUGUCCAUUUUUAGUCAAACUUGUCAAAGUUGAUAAAUCACUAAAGCCCCCAACUUUCAAUCUCUGAUCAGUGUCGUCUCAUCAAAUACUAUGCCCUGGCGAGAAAGUCUGGGAUUACAAUCUACAUAUUACUGUCUGUGGCUUGUAAGGAACUUAUUCUCAAUCGAUCAUUGGUUUUCAAACUUCACAAGGAGUUCAGAAACGGUGGGGAGAUCAUUGAAGAUAAUCGAGUAAAAUCUGCAAAGCCAACCAAAAGCAUCAGAAGAAUAUUGAC
rnacentral:lncRNA from 1 species